GGGACGCUGCUUGUUGAUUGGCAGAAAAGUGGCCCUUAAUGGAGUAGAACUGAGGACCUCAGUGAGCUAAAAGACAAUCCUUCUUCUCAGAGUUAAAACCAACACCAGACUGGAAUACAAACCAAAACCACUAAAAUAAUACUUCUUGAGCAUUCCUUUUAGAUUAGUAGCUAAAGCAGAUCCUGUUUUAAUUUUGUACUGUUCUAGGCUGCAGUGACAAAACAGCUUUGUGUGUAAUUUCCACAAUUGUAAUCAAUUAGCAAUUCAUACAAAAUUGCCCAUCACUAAUUAAAAGGCCAAUACAAAUUAAAUAAAGCUCUAACGAGUAGCAUUAAAACCCAUGCUAACUGCCCCAAUAGGUGCAAUUAGAAAAGACACCGUUUAUGGGAUAUGAGCAGAUCAUAUAAACUAGACUCUUGUUUUCUGCUAGAAUUAUAGGACUGUUUCUUCUG
rnacentral:lncRNA from 1 species